AUUGAACGCUGGCGGCAGGCCUAACACAUGCAAGUCGAACGAGUGGCGGACGGGUGAGUAAUGUCUGGGAAACUGCCUGAUGGAGGGGGAUAACUACUGGAAACGGUAGCUAAUACCGCAUACCAUCAGAUGUGCCCCGAUGGGAUUCGCUUGUUGGUGGGGUAACGGCUGACCAAGGCGACGAACCCUAGCUGGUCUGAGAGGCGGACCACCGACACUGGAACGUAGACACGGUCCAGACGCCUACGGGAGGCAGCAGUGGGGAAUAUUGCGCAAUGGGCGCAAACCUUGUACAGCCAUGCCGCGUGUAUGAAGAAGGCCUUCGGGUUGGAAAGUACUUUCAGCGGGGAGGCGUUACCCGCAGAAGAAGCACCGGCUAACUCCGUGCCAGCAGCCGCGGUAAUAC
rnacentral:rRNA from 1 species